CCCUUCAAUCCCAUAUGGUCAUACUUAAAUAAUGCUGCCCUUGUGGAUAGCACAAUAAAACAACACUAUUCAAAUAUGCCAUAAGCAUCAAUAUGUACUUAGUCAAUAUUAUAUCAAGUUCUAUAGCAAGCUUUGUGGAUAGCACAAUAAGCUCACUAAGACUUUGACAUACUUUAUUGAUCAAGCUUGAAGGAAAGCCCUUGUAGUGCCUCCAUCACUAAUCGAUCUAAGUCUGAAAUUCAAUAAGACC
rnacentral:lncRNA from 1 species